rnacentral:rRNA from 1 species
GGACGAACGCUGGCGGCGUGCUUAACACAUGCAAGUCGAGCGGUAAGGCCCUUUCGGGGGUACACGAGCGGCGAACGGGUGAGUAACACGUGGGUGACCUGCCCUCAGCUCUGGGAUAAGCCUGGGAAACCGGGUCUAAUACUGGAUAUGACUCCAUGACGCAUGUUGUGGGGUGGAAAGCCUUGUGCGGCUGAGGAUGGGCCCGCGGCCUAUCAGCUUGUUGGUGGGGUGA